UCUUUUGUUUAUUUUCUUACCUAAUCCCCUUUGUCUCAAACUCAAAACCCUAAUCGAGCAGCGAACCUGUGAAAGCAGGAACAAAACCAAGUGACUCCCUUCUCCUCCUUAAUCAAACCUCACCCCUUUCCCUCCCCCUCCUCCUCUCUCUCUCUCUCUCUCUAAAUCGCUCAACCAUUUAUAUCUAGAGUUGAAGAUGAAAGAAGAAACGGAAGCAGACGAUUUAGUUUGUGAGUACCACGAAGUCGCCCUGUGUUGUUUUCUCUCAUUUCCUUUGAGAUUUAGUAUGAUUUUGGUGGUUAUUGGCCUAGUCUGAUCUGAUUCAUGAAAUCUCUCUUUUCCCUUGGAGAAGGAAGAGCAAAGACAAGGAAAAGUACAACGGGAAAAUGAAGUUGCUCAAGGAGUAGUUUGAAGACGUUGGAGUAGCUUGAAGACAUGAUCCUUUGCAUUUUUCUUAAAAUUGUAGGGAUAAGGUUUUUCAACAUAUAGGAAUUCGAACACAUUUUGUUUGUUUCUUUCUUUCCAUGUGUAUAUACGAUUACAAUGUAUUAUGGAGCAUUGUAUAUAUACUUUGUUGCAUAGAAUUUUUUGGUAAUAAAAAGUUCCUGUUUGCGUA